GACGAACGCUGGCGGCGUGCUUAACACAUGCAAGUCGAGCGGUAAGGCCCUUUCGGGGGUACACGAGCGGCGAACGGGUGAGUAACACGUGGGUGACCUGCCCUUAGCUCUGGGAUGAGCCUGGGAAACUGGGUCUAAUACCGGAUAUGACUCCAUGACGCAUGUUGUGGGGUGGAAAGCCUUGUGCGGCUAGGGAUGGGCCCGCGGCCUAUCAGCUUGUUGGUGGGGUGAUGGCCUACCAAGGCGACGACGGGUAGCCGGCCUGAGAGGGCGACCGGCCACACUGGGACUGAGACACGGCCCAGACUCCUACGGGAGGCAGCAGUGGGGAAUCUUGCGCAAUGGGCGAAAGCCUGACGCAGCGACGCCGCGUGAGGGAUGACGGCCU
rnacentral:rRNA from 1 species